rnacentral:pre_miRNA from 1 species
CAAAAAUGCGGAAAGCGUUUAUUCAACGUUUCAGCCGGAGACCGGCCUUCAUCAUUCCUGAUGAAGGCCGGUCUCCGGCUGAAACGUUGGAUAAACGCUUUCCGCAUUUUUG